ACUCCCCAUUUCAUUGCCAUCUCCUCUCCUCUGCAUUCUUCCUCUACUCACACAUGCGUUUGUUUGGUCUUUCAUGUCGUCGUGUUGUUUCUAAUCAUCUCUCUCUAUCGAUUUCUUUACUUGCAGAAAGCGUGCAUCCAGAUCUAGUGUCCCCGUUCUGUUGUCCCCAUCCCCGUUCUUCUUUGUUUCUUUAUCUCCACGAUCUAGUAGGUCAUCUAUCCUCCAAGAUCCGCUCCAGUGUUAGCAGUGAGAGAUCUUGGUGGAAGCAAUGAAUACUUUGAGAAGAAAAAUGUAGCUGCAGUGCCUAUGUGAUAAGCUUAUGGAUUGUAGUUUUGUUCUCUCUCAAACACUAUUUUUCUUCCCUAUAUGUGUGGAUGGAGAUGACUAUCUUUUAUUAUCUGUAAAAAAUCGUUUUACUUUUUAUUAGCUUGGUUGGACAUUUGGUGCCUAAACUUUUUAUUAGUUUGGUUGGACAUUUGGUGCCUAUUGUGACAAGCUUAUGCAGUGCCUAUGUGACAGUUGUUGUUUUCUGUGAAACACGUUGUAUCAUGUUCUGGUUUCUGAAACCGUUGAAUCUGUAUAAACAAUCUGUUGUUUGAAACUGUUUGGUUGGACAGUUGGUGGCUAUCGUCUGUUUACAACUGUAUAAAUAAUAUGCUACAUGUUGCAUGU
rnacentral:lncRNA from 7 species